UGAAACAUUGUUUCCUGUAUGAUCAUUGAAGUUAAGCAACUUUGUGUCUGGUCAGUACCUAGAUGGGUGACCGCUUGGGAAUACCAGGAGCUG